rnacentral:misc_RNA from 1 species
CCAAACUAUCAACAACUCAAACAAAAAAUGAACAAUAUUAUGCCAAUCACUUCAGCCAGCUACCUUUAUGGCACCAAUCUCAUCAAUUUUUGAGCUCUUAUGCUUACUUUUUUUGUGCUUGUGAACGUCAUUAAUAUCUUCAUCUCCAUCAUGCUUUCUUUUCUUUUCAUGGUGUUUCUUAGAGUGAUCACCACCAGAAUCGUGAUGUCCACUCCUCUCCUUCUUCUUCUCCUUAUCUUUAUCUUUACUUCGAUCUUUAUCUUUAUGACGGUGUUUGUGCUUCUUAUGCUCUUUAUCCUUCUCCUUAUCUUUAUCUUUGUGCUUUUUAUGCUUCCUCUCUUUGUCUUUGGACUCACUUUUUGAUUUCGCUGCAAUUGUAGGAGUCCCCUUCUCUGCAUGAGGCAAAUCUAUAGAAGUGGUUUCCUUAAAUUGGAAGGCCUCUCUGAGCACAUCUAGGUCAAAUGGCUGUAUGCGUGUAUUGCUAUCUCUGGAAUAGGGAAUAUUCUGGAUAAGCUGAUCCAAUUGCAUGCCUUCUCCUUUUCUGAUUUCAGUGUCUCCCACCACAUUGUAAAGAUAAUGAGUGUCAGAAAUUGACAAAGGAAGUGAUCGCUUGCAGAAGAACUCAUGGUGGGGCAACAACUUGUAAUGACUUAUAAGAUC